rnacentral:rRNA from 1 species
AGAGUUUGAUCAUGGCUCAGAAUCAACGCUGGCGGCGCGCUUAACACAUGCAAGUCGAGCGAGAACCGGGACUUCGGUCCUGGGGACAGCAGCGAACGGGUGAGUAACACGUGGGUAAUCUGCCCUCGAUUCUGGGAUAGCCCGGGGAAACCCGGAUUAAUACCGGAUAGCCUUUCGAGCUUUCGGGCUUGAAAGAAAAGGUAGCUUCGGCCUCCGAUCGAGGAUGAGCCCGCGGUGGAUUAGCUUGUUGGCGGGGUAAUGGCCCACCAAGGCGACGAUCCAUAGCUGGUCUGAGAGGACGAUCAGCCACACUGGGACUGAGACACGGCCCAGACUCCUACGGGAGGCAGCAGUGGGGAAUCUUGCGCAAUGGGCGAAAGCCUGACGCAGCGACGCCGCGUGGGGGAAGAAGGCCUUAGGGUUGUAAACCUCUUUCAGGUGGGACGAAGCCACUCGGGUUAAUAGCCCAGAGGGUGACGGUACCGCCAGAAGAAGCCCCGGCUAACUACGUGCCAGCAGCCGCGGUAAUACGUAGGGGGCAAGCGUUGUCCGGAUUUAUUGGGCGUAAAGAGCGUGUAGGCGGCCAGGUAGGUGGGUUGUGAAAACUGGAGGCUCAACCUUCAGACGUCGACCCAAACCCCCUGGCUAGAGUCCGGAAGAGGAGAGUGGAAUUCCUGGUGUAGCGGUGAAAUGCGCAGAUAUCAGGAAGAACACCCGUGGCGAAGGCGGCUCUCUGGGACGGUACUGACGCUGAGACGCGAAAGCGUGGGGAGCGAACAGGAUUAGAUACCCUAGUAGUCC